GGAGGUAUGGCUAAAGUAGUAGAGCACCUGCCUACCAAGUAGAAGGCCUUAGCUUAAAUCCCAGUACUGCCA
rnacentral:tRNA from 1 species